rnacentral:rRNA from 1 species
AGCUCCAAUAGCGUAUAUUAAAGUUGUUGCAGUUAAAAAGCUCGUAGUUGGAUUUGUGGUGUGUCCAGUCGGCCUUUGCUCUUUGAGUGAUUGUGCUGUACUGGUCUGCCAUGUUUGGGUGGAAUCUGUGUGGCAUUAGGUUGUCGUGCAGGGGAUGCCCAUCGUUUACUGUGAAAAAAUUAGAGUGUUCAAAGCAGGCUUAUGCCGUUGAAUAUAUUAGCAUGGAAUAAUAAUAUAGGACCUUGGUACUAUUUUGUUGGUUUGCGCACUAAGGUAAUGAUUAAGAGGGACAGUUGGGGGUAUUUGUAUUCCAUUGUCAGAGGUGAAAUUCUUGGAUUUUUGGAAGACAAACUACUGCGAAAGCAUUUACCAAGGAUGUUUUCAUUA